rnacentral:rRNA from 1 species
CCUACGGGGGGCAGCAGUAAGGAAUAUUGCGCAAUGGGCGAAAGCCUGACGCAGCGACGCCGCGUGGGGGAUGAAGGUCUUCGGAUUGUAAACCCCUUUCGGGAGGGAAGAUGGGAUGGGGUAACCCAUUCGGACGGUACCUCCAGAAGCAGCCACGGCUAACUUCGUGCCAGCAGCCGCGGUAAUACGAAGGUGGCAAGCGUUGUUCGGAUUUACUGGGCGUACAGGGAGCGUAGGCGGUUGGGUAAGCCCUCCGUGAAAUCUCCAGGCUUAACCUGGAAAGUGCAGAGGGGACUGCUCAGCUAGAGGAUGGGAGAGGAGCGCGGAAUUCCCGGUGUAGCGGUGAAAUGCGUAGAGAUCGGGAGGAAGGCCGGUGGCGAAGGCGGCGCUCUGGAACAUUUCUGACGCUGAGGCUCGAAAGCGUGGGGAGCAAACAGGA